CAUAGCUUUCUGUCUGCAAGGCUUUCUCUGCCCACAGCUCCCUCCCUCUCCCUCUCUCCUCUGAUCCCUCACUUUCAGCCCGGGCUGCUUUGUCUCUCUCUCUCUCUGUCCGCCUCUUCCUUCCCUCUCUAGUUUUAAUUCUCGCAUUCCCAGUGGAUUUCUUCCUCUCUGUCUCCGCUCCCCCCCAAUGGAGGAAGAUUGUGCGAGGUUGGGAGUGGGAAGAGGAAGCAAGUCAAACUAAAACAGCGAGAGCGGCUGCAGUGUUAAAAAUAUGAGGAGUUAAAUGCGAACGAAGGGCGGACGUGGUAAAGGCUGAAAAAAAGAGUGGUUGUGUUUCUGUGCCUGCCUCUGCAUUUGCCUGUUGCUUGGUUUCCUCACAUGCUCCAGAACUGUGCUGGUAGGUUAUCUGGCCACUGUGAACUAUUCCCAGCCAUCCAGGGACAUCAGGAGGAGCUGGUGGGCAUAUUCAGUAAUACGAGAAUCACAAUAGAGUCAGUGAAAGACCGCACCCAACCGGACAGACAAACAACCAAUGGGCAAAUGACAGAAAACUGAAAUUACAAAAGAGAAGAAAAAUGAAGUAAUGACAAUAAAUAAAUAAGCAAUAAGUAUCGAGAA